CCUUAACAGUUCGUUGAUGAUGCUUUCGAUGCGACCCCAGGUCAGGCGGGACUACCCGCUGAGUUUAAGCAUAUCAAUAAGC
rnacentral:rRNA from 1 species